AAAUGUACCAUCAAUUUACACCAGGACUGCUGCGCAUGACAGGAAAGUUUGAUCGCGGGAAAAAAAGUCACCCUUCUUAAUAAUAAUGGAGUCCAGUUUGUUGGCCUACAGAGAAGUUAUACAAAGUAUGAUAAAAGAUGGUUGUACUGAUCAAAAUAUAUCCGAUCAUCUCCAGUAUGAAUGUGGCUUAACAAAUGGGUUCUCCCAAACAAACAUCCGUCGCUUUUGUACCCAAAAUGGUAUAGGCAGAGAGCGAGUACACGAUUCCCAACUGGAAGUAGAGGUUGCUAAAGCAACUAUUGAGACUGGACCAACAUAUGGAAGAAAAAUGAUGAGUGGUUACCUGGCCUCAAAAGGAAUCCAGCAUCAGAGGGGCGUGUUGGUCGUGUCCUCAGA